UACUCCCCUUGCAAUACCCCCUUGCGCUCCUCCCACAGGCGGAGCCCUUGGUGGCGUGUGACACCAUGUAGUUUUUAGGGUUACCAAAGAAGUGGCCGACGCCCCCUAAAUGCAUAGACUAUGAGAAAACUAAUUAGCCCGUAUUUUACAUUGGACCGAUUCUACGCAUGAUUUUGAAUGACGCGUAAAUUGGGUUUGGAAUCUCCGUGCACGGUGCAGCUAUGUAUUUUUCUCACAAUAAAUCAACGAUGCUCCUCUCAACAUUGAUUUGGAGUGCUGUCAGGUAUUUGCUGUGAUGUGAUUUGUCUGAUAACAGUUUUUCCCCAAACCCAGCCGCGGCUCUUUCCACAGGUUGUCACUUUCUAAAUAGGCUACUGUUGUGUCUACACUUUUCAGGUGCUGAUUGACCCAACGGGUUUGAAAUAUCCCUCUCUCCCUUAUGUACUCAUUCCCAAGACAGAUCAUAACCCUGAACUCUGUUCUUCUCGCCCUUUUUUCAACCAAAGUACUCUCACCAUCUCUUAUUUCAGUUGAAGUAAUCCCCAGCAAGGGUUGGGUGAUGACAAGGGGGCAGGUCACUAUGAACUUUAGUGAAGAAAAUGGUCACUCUGUAACCAAAUAGGUCCCGGACUCCUGAGGAGAGGGGCCGGAGAGAGAGGGAGAAUGCCCAAUGUAUGGGAAAGGAUGCCCUGCUCUUAUCAAAGCUAGCCACUGGCAAACAGUUGUUUUCUGUCCCUUUGAAAUCGAAAUCUGUGGUUGAAGAAGUGCUGAUGGAUUAAAUGUAGAAGGGGUGUCUUCCUACAUAAAACCCCACACUCUAAAACCACUUCACGCCACACGCAAUGAUGAAUAGAGAUUGCAGAGAUUUUUUAUUGCGAAAGCAUACCGUCAGAAAAGAAAUAGUGAAUUUGACAGUUUGUCAGAGUCCUCCUUCGGGGGGGAAGUGAAUGCAGACUUGAAAACCUUGUUCUAGGGCUCACAGAAGGUAAAGAAGACCAUUACAAACAUGUUUUGUGCCUCCAGUACAAAUGUUUACCCAACUAUUCAUUGCAUUUUAUGUACACUCGUGUUUUAGUAGAUACUCCACCAUGCAUGGGACAACACAGAAAUGACUGUGAAAUACAUUAUUCUUGCCCACAUUGUUUCUAGUGACUCUUGAAUGUAAAUCAAACCACUUUGGUUUUAGAGACCCUAAUGCUAGAUUGAGAGAUAUAAUGUAUGUUUAGAUCAUUUAAAAAAUAGAAAUGUAGUUGAUAUUUUCACUCUCUUUGUUGUUUUCUAUUGGCGUGCACUUUUCUUUUUUGCACAAUCUCUAAUGUUUUUCUCUUCCAAAAGACUGCGGAAAAAGUCUGCAGGUCUGCAAACCCCAAUGUAAGCUGCAGGAGCUUGUAGAUAGCAUUCGGAAAUCAGAAUACAAAAUACCUAUGAGCUACUUACAAUGCAAAUCAGAAGUGUGAACAGCCGUAAGAGGGCUCUUCAGUCAAGAAUGGGUAUUAAAAUGAAGUAAGAAUGCAGGGAAGAUAAAGAGAAAAAUAAGCAGAGUCUUGUAGAGGUUGAGUCAACAAUGGUUGUUUUCCAGUCACAACUCAUCCAUGGCCCACAGCAAGUUAGCAGAGAACAUUUUCAUCACGAUUGAAGCACUCCAAUAUCACCUUCACCAUUUUUGUUACCACAUAGAAAAGGAGGUACACCUUUUUGUUGUUGACUUUUGGGUUUCCCCCAAAAAUAAGGAGUUUUUGAAAUAUGCUUUUCAUCUGUCUGUAAGGAAUGCCAACUGGUUGCAGCAUAUUUAAAUGGGUGGGUCUUCAAUAAAAGUGUUUUGAUUAA